CUCCUAAAGCCGAGCCGAGCCCAGAUGCCUCUUCCCUCCCUAAAGUCGUGUCCAGAUGCCUCUUCUUCCCUAAAGCCGAGCCGAGAUGAUCUCCUAGCUUGAACCCAAACCGACGUUCAACUCAACUCCAUUCUUGAACCCAAACCCAACGCCGAGGCCAUUCACAUCUGGGUUGCAUUUAUAUUGUUGAUGCAUGUAAAGUUUAUUGGAGAAGCUAUGAUAAAGGGAUUCACACUGGACAAAUGGUUAUGCGGCUAGUUGAAGCAGUUGGUAACUUUUCAACAAUUCUUUCCUUCUCUCAGUGUGUAUGCAAUUAUGUACUAAAACACACACACACACAAGCACGGAGAGGAAUCUGGAUAUACUAAGAUUACCUUGCGAGGGGCCACUAAAGAGGAGCGUAUUACCAUUAUGCGAAAAAUGGAUACACGUAACAAGUCCGAGUGGUUGUUAAAUGGUAAUAUUUUAGUUUUCAUCAAAAGAUAAUUUAACAGUUUUUGAGUUUUGAAGCUUGGAAAAAUACUGGAUAUAUGUAAGAUCUAAUGCAAAAUAAUGAUUUUUUAUGUUGUACUAUCA